rnacentral:rRNA from 1 species
AUUGAACGCUGGCGGCAUGCCUUACACAUGCAAGUCGAACGGUAACAGGUCUUCGGAUGCUGACGAGUGGCGAACGGGUGAGUAAUACAUCGGAACGUGCCCGAUCGUGGGGGAUAACGAGGCGAAAGCUUUGCUAAUACCGCAUACGAUCUACGGAUGAAAGCGGGGGAUCUUCGGACCUCGCGCGGACGGAGCGGCCGAUGGCAGAUUAGGUAGUUGGUGGGAUAAAAGCUUACCAAGCCGACGAUCUGUAGCUGGUCUGAGAGGAUGAUCAGCUACACUGGGACUGAGACACGGCCCAGACUCCUACGGGAGGCAGCAGUGGGGAAUUUUGGACAAUAGGCGAAAGCCUGAUCCAGCCAUGCCGCGUGCAGGAUGAAGGCCUUCGGGUUGUAAACUGCUUUUGUACGGAACGAAAAGCCUCUUUCUAAUAAAGAGGGGUCAUGACGGUACCGUAAGAAUAAGCACCGGCUAACUACGUG